GACGGAGGGUGCUAGCGUUGUUCGGAAUCACUGGGCGUAAAGCGCACGUAGGCGGAUUGCUAAGUCAGGGGUGAAAUCCUGGAGCUCAACUCCAGAACUGCCUUUGAUACUGGCGAUCUUGAGUCCGGGAGAGGUGAGUGGAACUGCGAGUGUAGAGGUGAAAUUCGUAGAUAUUCGCAAGAACACCAGUGGCGAAGGCGGCUCACUGGACCAGCACCGACGUCAGGCACGAAAGCGUGGGGAGCAAACAGG
rnacentral:rRNA from 1 species